AUUUUGACUCCUGGGUGCAGCCGUUCCUGGGAUUGACUGACAUUUUUCAGGCUUCCGGCUGGAUGCACGAUGAAAUGCAGUGUGGUGUAACACUGCUCUGAAACUGUUGAAAACCCGAGCUUCCACUGCGGCCCGUCCCUUGAUACCAUGAAUGGAAUAGAGAGCUGGAGAGACGAAUCAGCAGUUAACAGCACCGGCUGCACUUUCAGAGAACAAGAGUUUGCUCCCAGCACCUGACGGCAUGUAACACAGCUCCGGAUUGAGG
rnacentral:lncRNA from 1 species